GCAGGUAUAGCUCAGUGGUAGAGCACGUGCUUAGCAUGCACAAGGUCCUGGGUUCAAUCCCCAGUACCUCCA
rnacentral:tRNA from 1 species